GUUUUUUCAACAUUGAAAAACCUGUGGUUUCUAAUAUUCAAACACGAUCAGCUACAGUGUCAUGGACUCUGAACAAUACUGAAAAAUAUGAUAUUAAUCUUCCUAUGACAUUUGAAUUGGCACUGUCCAGCAGUGGUAAAAACAGAAUCUAUAAACACAUUUAUACUGGUGAUGGCGUUACUGUGGUCCUACAUGAUCUACAGCCUUGCACGGUCUACUUCUUAAGAGUUGCAAUCAUAAGAGAUGGAGAACACAGAAAUGUGUCUGAAGUGGUUAGCUUCACAACACCAGGCUGUGAACCAGACCCUCCUCUUGCACCCACACUGAUUAGCAGAACCAAGAACAGCCUGAACUUACAAUGGAAAGUAAGGAUUUUACUGUGAAAAGAAUCUCAAUGCGUAUCUUAAACUUAAAUCUAAAUUGUUAUUAAAACAAAUAUCCUUAUACAAAAUUUUGCAGUACAAAUUCACUGCAUAAACAUAUACUCAAUAUAUGUGCAGGAUAUAUGAGUGCUGUAUAACAAUAAAUGAUCACAAAUUAAUCGUUCUGACCUUUUCAGGGUUGCAAUGAUAAUGGAUCCAAAAUAAGCCGCUUUCUAUUGGAAUGGGAUGAGGUAUGGUCAUUUAUUAUUAAAAAGAAAUUGUUUUUCAUAC
rnacentral:lncRNA from 1 species